CCUGCCCAGAAGCGGGGGAUAACACCUGGAAACAGAUGCUAAUACCGCAUAACAACUUGGACCGCAUGGUCCGAGCUUGAAAGAUGGCUUCGGCUAUCACUUUUGGAUGGUCCCGCGGCGUAUUAGCUAGAUGGUGGGGUAACGGCUCACCAUGGCAAUGAUACGUAGCCGACCUGAGAGGGUAAUCGGCCACAUUGGGACUGAGACACGGCCCAAACUCCUACGGGAGGCAGCAGUAGGGAAUCUUCCACAAUGGACGAAAGUCUGAUGGAGCAACGCCGCGUGAGUGAAGAAGGGUUUCGGCUCGUAAAACUCUGUUGUUAAAGAAGAACAUAUCUGAGAGUAACUGUUCAGGUAUUGACGGUAUUUAACCAGAAAGCCACGGCUAACUACGUGCCAGCAGCCGCGGUAAUACGUAGGUGGCAAGCGUUGUCCGGAUUUAUUGGGCGUAAAGCGAGCGCAGGCGGUUUUUUAAGUCUGAUGUGAAAGCCUUCGGCUCAACCGAAGAAGUGCAUCGGAAACUGGGAAACUUGAGUGCAGAAGAGGACAGUGGAACUCCAUGUGUAGCGGUGAAAUGCGUAGAUAUAUGGAAGAACACCAGUGGCGAAGGCGGCUGUCUGGUCUGUAACUGACGCUGAGGCUCGAAAGUUUGGGGUAGCAAACAGGAUUAGAUACCCUGGGUAGUCCAUA
rnacentral:rRNA from 1 species